rnacentral:rRNA from 1 species
CCCUUAGACGUUCUGGGCCGCACGCGCGCUACACUGACCAGUGCAACAAGCAUCCGUCCUUGGCCGACAGGCCCGGGCAAUCUUUGAACGCUGGUCGUGAUGGGGAUAGACUUUUGCAAUUUUUGGUCUUCAACGAGGAAUUCCUAGUAAACGCAAGUCAUCAACUUGCAUUGAUUACGUCCCUGCCCUUUGUACACACCGCCCGUCGCACCUACCGAUUGAAUGGUCCGGUGAAGCCUCCGGAUUGGCGCGCACCUCGGUGCCGCCGAGAAGUUGGCUAAACCUUACCAUUUAGAGGAAGGUGAAGUCGUAGCA